UAUAUAUCUGCAAAAAAUUUCAUAGGUAGAUUAGUAGAGUUAACAAACUUUAAAAUAGAAUAUGUUCUCCCUACCGAGCUUCACAUAUAUGACAUAAUAGAAUUUAACAUAACUCUCAUUUUUCUAAUUCCCUUUUAAUUUUUAUCUUGUUUUGUUUCACAGAAGCUUGAAUUAUUUUUCCUUGCUAUAUAAAAGUCUAUACAAAACUGAGUUUCAUUUAUUUAAACAGUUUUAGAUAUUAUAAUUCAAAUGUGUUUACCUUUCUCCAUAAAAAUAUAGAUUUUCACAUUGAGAAUAACUUUAUGUCUGUGACAAUAGUACUUUGUGAACCAAAACUGUGACUUUCCAUUCCUUUGUGAAAAAUCAAGUUACAAAAUAGAAAUAUAAUUUGAUAGAAUCUUCAACUUAAACUUUUGAAGAAAGAAUCAUAGAAAAUUAUUUUCAAAAAAGAAAAGAAGAUGAUGAAUCAAUAGAGAAGAAGAGGAGAGAAAAAAUACAGAUAAAAUUUUGAUUGAAUGUUAUAUAGGAGAGUUGCUGAAUUUUUGAACGUAUCCUGAUAAAAGUUAGAGAAAAAAUAGGAAUUUUUUUUUUUUUGCAGUUACAUAAAACUAAAGGAACUUGAGACAGUUUUGAUUUUUUUUUGGUAGUAUGUUAAAUUUUAACUUUUUGAAAACAGAUUACUUUUUUUAAGGCUUUGUAAGGAAAUUACACAUGUCAAAUUUGGUCGGUCAAGUGAUUUGUACUUUAUUAUAUAAGAUAAAUAAAUAAGAACAAAAAUAAUUAGAUUUUUUAAGAUUUACCCUUUGAAAUAAUAUAUAUUUUGGUUAUUAGAAAACUGUUACAACUUUUUAAGAUUUACCCUUAAUAUUUUAGAAAUUAUUUUUGCUUACUGGAGACUGGUAUAAGAAAUAAAAGCUGAUUCAAGAAGACCAUAUGAGGGA